rnacentral:lncRNA from 1 species
UCUUGCCAAAAAGCUGGAAACACCCCAAAUGUCUACCAACAGGAGCACGGAUGAGCAGGCUGAGGUCCAUUCACAACACGGAGUACUGCGCAGCAGAUCCUGGAGACUAGGGAAGCCCAGGAUGCUCAUGGCUGAGAAGCAGCACCCAGAGACUGCCCUCUGGGCUUCUGUUGGCAUGAAAUUCUCCAGAAGACCCAGCCGUGAGUGA